UACGAAGGGGGGCUAGCGUUGCUCGGAAUUACUGGGCGUAAAAGCGCACGUAGGCGGAUCUUUAAGUCAGGGGUGAAAUCCUGGAGCUCAACUCCAGAACUGCCUUUGAUACUGAGGACCUUGAGUUCGGGAGAGGUGAGUGGAACUGCGAGUGUAGAGGUGAAAUUCGUAGAUAUUCGCAAGAACACCAGUGGCGAAGGCGGCUCACUGGCCCGAUACUGACGCUGAGGUGCGAAAGCGUGGGGAGCA
rnacentral:rRNA from 1 species